rnacentral:rRNA from 1 species
AGCGAACGCUGGCGGCAGGCUUAACACAUGCAAGUCGAACGGGCAUAGCAAUAUGUCAGUGGCAGACGGGUGAGUAACGCGUGGGAACGUACCUUUUGGUUCGGAACAACACAGGGAAACUUGCGCUAAUACCGGAUAAGCCCUUACGGGGAAAGAUUUAUCGCCGAAAGAUCGGCCCGCGUCUGAUUAGCUAGUUGGUAGGGUAAUGGCCUACCAAGGCGACGAUCAGUAGCUGGUCUGAGAGGAUGAUCAGCCACAUUGGGACUGAGACACGGCCCAAACUCCUACGGGAGGCAGCAGUGGGGAAUAUUGGACAAUGGGCGAAAGCCUGAUCCAGCCAUGCCGCGUGAGUGAUGAAGGCCCUAGGGUUGUAAAGCUCUUUUGGGCGGGAAGAUAAUGACGGUACCGCAAGAAUAAGCCCCGGCUAACUUCGU